rnacentral:tRNA from 1 species
UCCCUCCUAGCUUAGUCUGUAAAGAAUCUGCCUGCAACACAGGAGACCCGUGUUCAAUUCCUGGGUGGGGAA